CGAGGACUUUCGAUGAACCUUUUUUCUGAGGUGUGGCUCGCACCUGUCCAACUAAACUUGAGCUACCCAAUUUCAACACGGUUGCAUCGGUUGGCUGUCAAACAGUGCCUCGGCGCUGGGAGGCGGUCGACACACAACACAAACACUUUUGAUGAUCUAGGAUUUUGAAUGAAGUUCAUUUUUAUGAUGGAACCGACUGGUAAUGCGGUCGUCUAAAUCUAAAAAACAACUUUUGGCAACGGAUCUCUUGGUUCUCCCAUCGAUGAAGAACGCAGCGAAUUGCGAUAAGUAAUGUGAAUUGCAGAAGUGAAUCAUCGAAUCUUUGAACGCACCUUGCGCUCCCGGCAGAUCUAAUCUGGGGAGCAUGCCUGUUUGAGGGCCGCGAAUUGUUUCGAACGACAGCUUUUUUCUUUGCGAAAAAGUUGGCGGAUCGGUAUUGAGGGUUUUUGCCAUUUACCAUGGCUCCCUCGAAAUGCAUUAGCGCAUCCAUUUGAUAGGCAAGACGGACGAAAGCUCGAUUUUCGCCCUCUCUUCCCUGCCGGGUUUUGAUAAUAUCAGGACUUCGGAGGCGGAGAAAGGGUUAGAGCUGGACGCAACGUUUUGCUGUUUGGAGUGCUUCUGAAACCCGCCCAUGCCUCUUUCUUCGGAAAAGGAAGGGAUUUUUUCAAUUCAUCGGCCUCAGAUUGGUAGGACUACCCGCUGAACUUAAGCAUAUCAAUAAGCGGAGGAA
rnacentral:rRNA from 1 species